GUCCAGCUGCGGGGGAGACAGUGUCGCUCUCUAACCCUAAUGUGGGGGCAACGCGGGCCCUUUGUUUAAAGUCCCGCUGUCGGGAGCCCUCGCUGUUUUCUUGGCUAACUUUCAGCGAUGGCGAAAGGGCCCAGCAAAGGUUGGGAAGCGUGAUUUAUUGUUGGUGGGCAGAGAGAAAAAAGUUUAAGCCGCGGCCUCCUCCCCGGCGGCCCAGGACCCCCUGUUGCAACGUGCGGAAUGGCGGCCUCGGCCCCCCUGCUGCACGCCCAGCCGUUUAGGCCGCGGUCAGCGCCGGUUUCCACGCCAGUGUGGGGCUUGAUGCUGUCGCGAAGAGUUCGUCUCUGUUAGCCUGGCAGGGUGUGCUACGCAGGGUCGGGGUGCGGAGGGCAGGGAGAUUAAAUAGCUUGACCAGACGCUAUGGCCUGUACUGCAUUUCCCAGAGCUGUGGGACCUGCAAAUCUGCGCUGGUCAUACAUUU
rnacentral:telomerase_RNA from 2 species